rnacentral:rRNA from 1 species
AUUGAACGCUGGCGGCAUGCUUUACACAUGCAAGUCGAACGGUAACAGGCCGCAAGGUGCUGACGAGUGGCGAACGGGUGAGUAAUGCAUCGGAACGUGCCCAGUCGUGGGGGAUAACUACUCGAAAGAGUAGCUAAUACCGCAUACGAUCUAUGGUUGAAAGCGGGGGACCGUAAGGCCUCGCGCGAUUGGAGCGGCCGAUGUCAGAUUAGGUAGUUGGUGGGGUAAAGGCUCACCAAGCCAACGAUCUGUAGCUGGUCUGAGAGGACAACCAGCCACACUGGGACUGAGACACGGCCCAGACUCCUACGGGAGGCAGCAGUGGGGAAUUUUGGACAAUGGGCGCAAGCCUGAUCCAGCAAUGCCGCGUGCAGGAAGAAGGCCUUCGGGUUGUAAACUGCUUUUGUACGGAACGAAACGGCUCUGGUUAAUACCCGGGGCUAAUGACGGUACCGUAAGAAUAAGCACCGGCUAACUACGUG